UGCCCAGCAACUCCUAUCCCUACCUCCUCGUGGUACCGGCCGGAAACUAUGAGCAACCUUAGGGAAGAUCGGAUAACCAACCCCGGUGGGAACUUUGGUCGUAGGUUGACAGGGAAGG
rnacentral:ribozyme from 1 species